rnacentral:rRNA from 1 species
GAUGGACGCUGGCGGCGUGCCUAAUACAUGCAAGUCGAACGCUGGAAAUCUAGCUUGCUAGAUUGAAGGAGUGGCGAACGGGUGAGUAAUACAUAAGCAACCUACCCACGAAGACUGGGAUAAUCUCUGGAAACGGGGACUAAUACCGGAUAGGUAAUCGGAAGGCAUCUUCUGAUUAUUAAAGGUUAAAAACACUGGUGGAUGGGCUUAUGGCGCAUUAGUUAGUUGGUGAGGUAACGGCCCACCAAGACGAUGAUGCGUAGCCGGCCUGAGAGGGUGAACGGCCACAUUGGGACUGAGACACGGCCCAGACUCCUACGGGAGGCAGCAGUAGGGAAUUUUCGGCAAUGGGGGAAACCCUGACCGAGCAACGCCGCGUGAGUGAUGACGGCCUUCGGGUUGUAAAGCUCUGUUGUAAGGGAAGAACGGUAGAUAGAGAAUAUCUAAAUGACGGUACCUUACCAGAAAGCCACGGCUAACUACGU